rnacentral:rRNA from 1 species
GAUGAACGCCGGCGGCGUGCCUAAUACAUGCAAGUCGAGCGAACGGGCGAGAAGCUUGCUUCUCUGAUGUUAGCGGCGGACGGGUGAGUAACACGUGGAUAACCUACCUAUAAGACUGGGAUAACUUCGGGAAACCGGAGCUAAUACCGGAUGAUAUUUUGAACCGCAUGGUUCAAAAGUGAAAGACGGUCUUGCUGUCACUUAUAGAUGGAUCCGCGCUGCAUUAGCUAGUUGGUAAGGUAACGGCUUACCAAGGCAACGAUGCAUAGCCGACCUGAGAGGGUGAUCGGCCACACUGGAACUGAGACACGGUCCAGACUCCUACGGGAGGCAGCAGUAGGGAAUCUUCCGCAAUGGGCGAAAGCCUGACGGAGCGACGCCGCGUGAGUGAUGAAGGUCUUCGGAUCGUAAAACUCUGUUAUUAGGGAAGAACAUAUGUGUAAGUAACUGUGCACAUCUUGACGGUACCUAAUCAGAAAGCCACGGCUAACUACGUG